UUGUCGUUGUCUGCCUCUGGUCUGCUUGUCUGCCGUUACAGUAACUGUGUGUCUCAGAGUAUCCCUCCUUUGUUUUUUAAUCAUCGGUUCCUUCCCCACCCUGCUCCCCUCACUCUCCUCUUGUCAUCACCUGUGCCUUGCGGUUUGGAUCACCGUUAAACCAGAGAAAGGGAAAGAGGUAACAGAGCCAACCUGCUUAAUUGUAACCGCUCUCCGUGGCCCUAAUCAGCCUCAAUUCCUAACGAUGAUGAUACUGUGCCUAUGCGUAGCACUUCCCAGCCCUGGAGAAGCCCGAAGUGCUGCUGCUUUGUUUGCAGAGGGACAGUCAUCCUAUAACGAGCCCUUACACAAGGACCUGCUACAUGUAAACACCUGCUGUAAAAAUCUGAACCCCGUAAUGCCUCCGUUGCUCUGCCAUUGUGAACAUUGUGCUCUGCGGUGGCAUGAGUAAUGCCCAAUUAGCUAAAGUGAUUGAUCAAUAGAGUGCAUCAGAAAUUCGGGCUGAAUAAAUGCUGCAGCAGUGUGGAAGGAGUGUUUUGUUGGCUUUUAUCCCGUUUCCUUUAUUAUACCUCAGUGCUUAUCUGCUACAUGUAUUAAAAUGGCUGGCAGAACCACAGCACAGGACACUGCUUGAAGGCCACAUGUUUCUCACUGGCCGGUAGUAGCCAGGCACAGUGGGGAAGCAACUCAAGGAGCACUCUUGUAGACCCAUUAGGAGGGAAGGGUAGCAAAGCAGCAUGCUCGCUCCAGGCCUGUUCACCUCAAUGAUGUUUUAUCGGCAGCCUUGUACAUCACAACACUUCCAGACUUGGGCAUUGGCACCUCAGUGGAUCAACCCUCUACUCGAUGCCAUUGAAGGAGACCAAUUCCUGGAGGAAGACAGACUGGAAAGGAAGCCAUGGUGCUCUGGUCUUAAUGACGCUGCUUGCAUUUGUGCUGGAGACUGUGCAAAAUAUCCAAGCCCUUAAAAUUCAGCAGGAUCCUUCAUUUUGUGUGUUAGGUGUUCAAUACCUGACUAGUCCUGAAGUAUCUGUGUCGAGUUUUGUUAUGGGGAACCCAGUGUUUUUCUCUUUUGUCAACUUCACCUACAGCUGUGUACAUUAAGCUGGAAGCUGCAGUUGGCGUAUAAGUGUUAAUCAGUCUGAUACUAGUUGUGACUCAUUCAAGCCUGCCUCAGAUCUUGGCUGAAGAAGCUGCAAUGGCCGAUAAAGCCCAGGAAAAAUAAAGCUGGUGAAGGAUCCCUGUAUCAUGUGCAGGAGCUGUAGAUGGUGAUAGAAUGACGGUGGGGAAGGAGAAGACUUUGGCAUUUCUGUCAACAAAGUUGGCUUUUUUCUUUGCUGUCAGUGCACUUAUUUGACACAAGAGACAGAUGCUCUGCAGGAAGGCUGUGAUUGCCUUCCCUGCAGUGAUCUGAACGUCAGGCUCUGCCAUGGCAUUUGGGCUGUGGCCACAGGGAGGGAACAGCAUGACCAGGGAAGGGGGAGAGAUGCAGUCACUGCCCCUCUGCAAAGCACUUGGGGUGCUUGGUGCCCACUGUGCUCUCUGCUCCUGCUGCAGACCAGGCCAUGUCAGCCAGGCCCUUUUGUGGCUGCUGGACUCUCCCUUCUCCUCCCUGGGGUGCAGAGUAAGAGCUGUGUGUCCAUUCUUUUCCCUGUGCUGCCACUGCAGUACUGGUGUACUCCAGCUGCGUGGCAAAGCAGUGUGCAGGGAUGGGACAGGGUAUUGCUUCCCUGAGCCCUGCAUGGGUAGUUUGUGUUGCCCCUGCAUGGGGCAAGUUCACCGGAACAUUUAACAGGCACGAGUUUUGCUCUGCUACUGCUUUACUUUGAGCCUGCAAGUGCAAAGAGCAUCUAUGAACAGGAGUGAGACUAAGACAUCAUUUCCAAAGGGAGAUCUGGGCUUUAGAUUGUAUCUUUUCUUAAUUUGUUCUCCCAGGCUAAACUCAUUUCUGUGGUGGUAUCUGCUGUCUUUGUGAUUUAUUCUUGAAAUCUAAGGCGUGAGCUGGCCAGAUAAGAAACACAGUAAGCAUUUUAGAUUGAUAACAUCAACAAUUACUUUUAAUUAAUGCUUCCAGUGUUUUGAUUUAAAGAAAAAAAAAAAAACCAACCCAAAGAAGUCCAAUUAUGCAGGUUAAAGAAAGAUUUU